AUAGAUGCAGCGAAGCAGGAGGAAGACAAAAAAAGGAUGCCACAACAUUUGGAGCGAGUGUGUGUGUGUGUGUGUGUGUGUGUGUGUGUGUGUGUGUGUGUGUGUGUGUGUGUUUGCGUGUGUGUGUGUAUGUGGUAAUAUCUUGCUCAUUAUUCCUUCUCCCCUGGGGGCUGCAUAGAAGAUCUGGCUCUUCUCCUGUCCAUUAGUUAUGUUCUUUCUCAUGACUGAGAGUUUCACUAAUGAGCAGCUCUUAAUUACACCUUACAUCAGAAGAGUUCUCUCUCCCCUCCUCUCCAUCUCUGCCGCAGACACAGACCCAGGCUGGCUUUACCUCUGUGCUUGCUGAACAGGACCUUGUCACAUCAGACAAAGCCACAUUACUGAUCAGUCUGUCAGCCUGCCAGGGACAUCAAUGGACAGUCUGAAUGUGGGACUGCAAAGACUGUAAAAAGCACAUGGUAGUGCAUGUCCAUAUCUGUUCUCUGGGGAAAACAAUCUUGCUCUCACAACCUUGUCAUUUUGAAACAUCUCCCAGGACCUGAGCACUAGGACCAUACUUCAGGACUACCUGGCAUGAUGACUCCUUGCUGUUCCCAGUCCACCUGGCUGUGCUACUGCUCCAGUUUCAACUGUUCUGCCUGCGGCUGUGGAACCCUGACCUGUUCACCGGAUGUGCUACCUGUCCCAGACCUGCUGUUUUCAACUCUCUAGAGGCAGCAGGAGCGGUAGAGAUACUCUCAAUGAUCGGCUAUGAAAAGCCAACUGACAUUUACUCUUGAGGUGCUGACUUGUUGCACCCUCGACAACUACUGUGAUUAUUAUUAUUUGACCAUGCUGGUCAUUUAUGAACAUUUGGACAUCUUGGCCAUGUUCUCUUAUAAUCUCCACCCCUCAUAGCCAGAAGAGGACUGGCC
rnacentral:lncRNA from 1 species